AUUUAUAUAGUAUAAUGUAUAUAUGACUUCCAAUCAUAAGGUCUAAAUUUUUUUAGUAUAAAUA
rnacentral:tRNA from 1 species